rnacentral:rRNA from 1 species
GGGUUGUGAGGUUAAGCGACUAAGCGUACACGGUGGAUGCCCUGGCAGUCAGAGGCGAUGAAGGACGUGCUAAUCUGCGAUAAGCGUCGGUGAGGUGAUAUGAACCGUUAUAACCGGCGAUUUCCGAAUGGGGAAACCCAGUGUGUUUCGACACACUAUCAUUAACUGAAUCCAUAGGUUAAUGAGGCGAACCGGGGGAACUGAAACAUCUAAGUACCCCGAGGAAAAGAAAUCAACCGAGAUUCCCCCAGUAGCGGCGAGCGAACGGGGAGGAGCCCAGAGCCUGAAUCAGUGUGUGUGUUAGUGGAAGCGUCUGGAAAGGCGCGCGAUACAGGGUGACAGCCCCGUACACAAAAAUGCACAUACUGUGAGCUCGAUGAGUAGGGCGGGACACGUGGUAUCCUGUCUGAAUAUGGGGGGCCCAUCCUCCAAGGCUAAAUACUCCUGACUGACCGAUAGUGAACCAGUACCGUGAGGGAAAGGCGAAAAGAACCCCGGCGAGGGGAGUGAAAAAGAACCUGAAACCGUGUACGUACAAGCAGUGGGAGCCUCUUAAUGGGGUGACUGCGUACCUUUUGUAUAAUGGGUCAGCGACUUAUAUUCUGUAGCAAGGUUAACCGAAUAGGGGAGCCGAAGGGAAACCGAGUCUUAACUGGGCGUUAAGUUGCAGGGUAUAGACCCGAAACCCGGUGAUCUAGCCAUGGGCAGGUUGAAGGUUGGGUAACACUAACUGGAGGACCGAACCGACUAAUGUUGAAAAAUUAGCGGAUGACUUGUGGCUGGGGGUGAAAGGCCAAUCAAACCGGGAGAUAGCUGGUUCUCCCCGAAAGCUAUUUAGGUAGCGCCUCGUGAAUUCAUCUCCGGGGGUAGAGCACUGUUUCGGCAAGGGGGUCAUCCCGACUUACCAACCCGAUGCAAACUGCGAAUACCGGAGAAUGUUAUCACGGGAGACACACGGCGGGUGCUAACGUCCGUCGUGAAGAGGGAAACAACCCAGACCGCCAGCUAAGGUCCCAAAGUCAUGGUUAAGUGGGAAACGAUGUGGGAAGGCCCAGACAGCCAGGAUGUUGGCUUAGAAGCAGCCAUCAUUUAAAGAAAGCGUAAUAGCUCACUGGUCGAGUCGGCCUGCGCGGAAGAUGUAACGGGGCUAAACCAUGCACCGAAGCUGCGGCAGCGACACUAUGUGUUGUUGGGUAGGGGAGCGUUCUGUAAGCCUGUGAAGGUGGCCUGUGAGGGUUGCUGGAGGUAUCAGAAGUGCGAAUGCUGACAUAAGUAACGAUAAAGCGGGUGAAAAGCCCGCUCGCCGGAAGACCAAGGGUUCCUGUCCAACGUUAAUCGGGGCAGGGUGAGUCGACCCCUAAGGCGAGGCCGAAAGGCGUAGUCGAUGGGAAACAGGUUAAUAUUCCUGUACUUGGUGUUACUGCGAAGGGGGGACGGAGAAGGCUAUGUUGGCCGGGCGACGGUUGUCCCGGUUUAAGCGUGUAGGCUGGUUUUCCAGGCAAAUCCGGAAAACCAAGGCUGAGGCGUGAUGACGAGGCACUACGGUGCUGAAGCGACAAAUGCCCUGCUUCCAGGAAAAGCCUCUAAGCAUCAGGUAACAUCAAAUCGUACCCCAAACCGACACAGGUGGUCAGGUAGAGAAUACCAAGGCGCUUGAGAGAACUCGGGUGAAGGAACUAGGCAAAAUGGUGCCGUAACUUCGGGAGAAGGCACGCUGAUAUGUAGGUGAAGCGACUUGCUCGUGGAGCUGAAAUCAGUCGAAGAUACCAGCUGGCUGCAACUGUUUAUUAAAAACACAGCACUGUGCAAACACGAAAGUGGACGUAUACGGUGUGACGCCUGCCCGGUGCCGGAAGGUUAAUUGAUGGGGUUAGCGGCAACGCGAAGCUCUUGAUCGAAGCCCCGGUAAACGGCGGCCGUAACUAUAACGGUCCUAAGGUAGCGAAAUUCCUUGUCGGGUAAGUUCCGACCUGCACGAAUGGCGUAAUGAUGGCCAGGCUGUCUCCACCCGAGACUCAGUGAAAUUGAACUCGCUGUGAAGAUGCAGUGUACCCGCGGCAAGACGGAAAGACCCCGUGAACCUUUACUAUAGCUUGACACUGAACAUUGAGCCUUGAUGUGUAGGAUAGGUGGGAGGCUUUGAAGUGUGGACGCCAGUCUGCAUGGAGCCGACCUUGAAAUACCACCCUUUAAUGUUUGAUGUUCUAACGUUGGCCCGUAAUCCGGGUUGCGGACAGUGUCUGGUGGGUAGUUUGACUGGGGCGGUCUCCUCCUAAAGAGUAACGGAGGAGCACGAAGGUUGGCUAAUCCUGGUCGGACAUCAGGAGGUUAGUGCAAUGGCAUAAGCCAGCUUGACUGCGAGCGUGACGGCGCGAGCAGGUGCGAAAGCAGGUCAUAGUGAUCCGGUGGUUCUGAAUGGAAGGGCCAUCGCUCAACGGAUAAAAGGUACUCCGGGGAUAACAGGCUGAUACCGCCCAAGAGUUCAUAUCGACGGCGGUGUUUGGCACCUCGAUGUCGGCUCAUCACAUCCUGGGGCUGAAGUAGGUCCCAAGGGUAUGGCUGUUCGCCAUUUAAAGUGGUACGCGAGCUGGGUUUAGAACGUCGUGAGACAGUUCGGUCCCUAUCUGCCGUGGGCGCUGGAGAACUGAGGGGGGCUGCUCCUAGUACGAGAGGACCGGAGUGGACGCAUCACUGGUGUUCGGGUUGUCAUGCCAAUGGCACUGCCCGGUAGCUAAAUGCGGAAGAGAUAAGUGCUGAAAGCAUCUAAGCACGAAACUUGCCCCGAGAUGAGUUCUCCCUGAGACUUAGAGUCUCCUGAAGGAACGUUGAAGACGACGACGUUGAUAGGCCGGGUGUGUAAGCGCAGCGAUGCGUUGAGCUAACCGGUACUAAUGAACCGUGAGGCUUAACCUUACAACGCCGAAG